rnacentral:rRNA from 1 species
GGGUGAGUAAUGUCUGGGAAACUGCCUGAUGGAGGGGGAUAACUACUGGAAACGGUAGCUAAUACCGCAUAACGUCGCAAGACCAAAGAGGGGGACCUUCGGACCUCUUGCCAUCAGAUGUGCCCAGAUGGGAUUAGCUAGUAGGUGGGGUAACGGCUCACCUAGGCGACGAUCCCUAGCUGGUCUGAGAGGAUGACCAGCCACACUGGAACUGAGACACGGUCCAGACUCCUACGGGAGGCAGCAUG